rnacentral:rRNA from 1 species
AGCGAACGCUGGCGGCAGGCCUAACACAUGCAAGUCGAACGAACCUUUCGGGGUUAGUGGCGGACGGGUGAGUAACACGUGGGAACGUGCCAUUAGGUUCGGAAUAACUCAGGGAAACUUGUGCUAAUACCGAAUGUGCCCUUCGGGGGAAAGAUUAAUCGCCUUUAGAGCGGCCCGCGUCUGAUUAGCUAGUUGGUUGAGGUAAUGGCUCACCAAGGCGACGAUCAGUAGCUGGUCUGAGAGGAUGAUCAGCCACAUUGGGACUGAGACACGGCCCAAACUCCUACGGGAGGCAGCAGUGGGGAAUCUUGCGCAAUGGGCGAAAGCCUGACGCAGCCAUGCCGCGUGAAUGAUGAAGGUCUUAGGAUUGUAAAAUUCUUUCACCGGGGACGAUAAUGACGGUACCCGGAGAAGAAGCCCCGGCUAACUUCGUG